rnacentral:rRNA from 1 species
UACGUAGGGUGCAGGCGUUGAUCGGAAUUACUGGGCGUAAAGCGUGCGCAGGCGGUUUCUUAAGUCAGAUGUGAAAGCCCCGGGCUUAACCUGGGAACUGCGUUUGAAACUGGGAGACUUGAGUGUGGCAGAGGGGGGUGGAAUUCCACGUGUAGCAGUGAAAUGCGUAGAUAUGUGGAGGAACACCGAUGGCGAAGGCAGCCCCCUGGGUUAACACUGACGCUCAUGCACGAAAGCGUGGGGAGCAAACAGG